rnacentral:rRNA from 1 species
GUGGGAUGUAAUCGUCUUGUUAUUAACUCGGACAAUCUAGAGGUGAUUGAUACCAUGAAGGAUGGAGGACGAUUGACACGUGUGGAGGCGACAGUUUUUUAUGACUAUUUUCAUUUUGCUUGAGAUUUUCCUAUUUCUAUGUUCGAGCAUUGUAAUAGACAAGCAAAUAAAGUUGUUCAUGAGCUUGGUAGGUUGGCCAGAUUUUCUUAAAUUUCUGAUUGGUUUGAACCUUUAAAAGAAAUUGUACUGAUCCUCAUAAAUGAUAUAAAGAUUUUUAAAAUAAAUAAAGCUUGUGUUUAA